CCUACGGGGGCAGCAGUGGGGAAUAUUGGACAAUGGGCGAAAGCCUGAUCCAGCCAUGCCGCGUGUGUGAAGAAGGCCUUCGGGUUGUAAAGCACUUUCAGUGGGGAAGAAAGCCUUGGGGCUAAUACCCUCGAGGAAGGACAUCACCCACAGAAGAAGCACCGGCUAACUCCGUGCCAGCAGCCGCGGUAAUACGGAGGGUGCGAGCGUUAAUCGGAAUUACUGGGCGUAAAGCGCGCGUAGGCGGUCUGAUAAGCCGGUUGUGAAAGCCCCGGGCUCAACCUGGGAACGGCAUCCGGAACUGUCAGGCUAGAGGGCAGGAGAGGAAGGUAGAAUUCCCGGUGUAGCGGUGAAAUGCGUAGAGAUCGGGAGGAAUACCAGUGGCGAAGGCGGCCUUCUGGACUGACACUGACGCUGAGGUGCGAAAGCGUGGGUAGCAAACAGGAUUAGAUACCCGAGUCGUC
rnacentral:rRNA from 1 species